GCAGUCACUGCCAACCUGCAGGAUAACACAGCUUGUUCCUCUGGGAACUGCCCUGCAGUGUCUGCAUACAGCCACCCUUGACCUGUCUGCCUGGUCUUUGCAACCUCUAGUGACUGUUGUUCCACAAUGUGUAGUGAAGGCAGGAACCUCCUUGCUUCCCUCUGAAGCUCCCUUUCUAGAAAGGUCAGAGCCGUUCCUUCCCAUUCAUGUGUUGAAAUAAGCACAUGAUUCAGUUAUCACCCUUCCUCAAACCCCUCCAGCUUACAUGCUUUGGAAACAGGCAGCCAAGGUGGAUGGAGAGCAGAGAUGUUUCCUGUCUUCAGCUUCUUGAGAGCUCAUUGAUUGAGGCAGCAUCUCUCACAGCCUGAAGCCCAGCAAUUCAGCUUCUCUGGCUUGUCAGCAAGACUCCAGGACUCUCCUUUCUCGAUGUCCCCUGUGUUGGGAUUACAGGCCUACACAGCUAUACUUGGCUUCUCAUAUGGGCACCAGGAAACCCAGACCUUGGUGUUUGUUCAAAGGAUAAGAGCCCAUCACCAUCAAGACAGUAAAAUGGCAACAGGCAGGCAUAGUACUGGAGCAGUCACUGAGAGCUCAUGAAUUCAUCUACAAACAGAAAGAGGAGAUAACUGGAAAGGAAGCAAUGCUUUUGAAACCUCAAAGCCUGCUGCAAUGACAUACUUCCUCCAGCAAGGUCACACCUCCUAACCCUCCCUAAACAGCUACCAACUGUGAAUCAAGUACCUGCAACUUACAGAGAAC
rnacentral:lncRNA from 1 species